rnacentral:lncRNA from 1 species
CACACUAGAUGUUGGCAUCUUAAAAAAAAACAAAAAUAGGAGUGAGCUAAAAGCCCAGUAAGUCACCUCUAUUCAUUAUUCGAUUAAGCAUGUUAUACAUGAAUCUCAGAAUCAUAAUUUAAGAGUUCUGAUUUAUAAUUUAAGGCAUGCUGAGUUAUGUAAAGUAUAUAUGUAUUCAAAAUCAUCAACAUAUGUAAAUAAUAGAAGAAGAAAAUAUAUAACUUCUAAUCAUUAUACUCAAUUAUUCAAACUCUCUCUCUCUCUUAGCUUUUGACUGUGGCCAC